UCCAAAUGUAAGGAUCAGUUCCUUUUUUAAAAAUUGCUGAGCAGGAUUCUCUUUUAUGUUACACCAUAAUUCGUUUAUCCAUUCACCUGAUGAUGGACACAGGGAUUGUUUCAUUUGGGGGCAUUACAAAUAGGGUUGCUAUGAUAUGUGUGGAUACAAGUUUUUGUCUAAACAUACACUUUUCUUUUGAGUAAAUACCGAGGCAUGGGUUGAUUGGAUCAUAUGAUAGGUGUGUGUUUAACUUUUUAAGAAAGUGCUAGACUUUUCCAAAAUGCUGGUACCACUUUACAUUUCCACUAACAGUGUAUGAGAAUUUCAGUGCCUUUACUUCUACACCAGCACUUGAUGUGGUCAGUCUUCUUAAUUGUAGUCAUUCUAAUGAAUGUGAAGUAGGUUUUCAUUUGAACUUCCCUAGUGACUAAUGAUGUUGCAUAUCUUUUAUGUGCCUUUUUUUCUUGCCAUUCAUGCAUCUUAUUCUGUGACUGUGAUGAAGCAUUUUCCUAAUUCUUUCUCUUAAGUUUUAAAAGUUCUUUUAAAAUAUAUAUUCCAGA